AAGGCCUUGGGUUUGAUCCCCAGUACCAGAAAAACAGAAAAACUUUUUUAUAAAAAUAUUUAUCAACUCAUUUCAUAGCAUCUAUCCAAAUUGUUAGUAUAAUCACAAACUGUUUUUCUAGUGCAAUACUAAUUGUAUUCAUCAUUUAACUAUGUUCCAUAAAUAAGUAGAAUGCUAUUUUAGAACCCAUUAUUCUCAUCUCCCCAUAUAUUCUUUAUGCUAUCAGAUUUGCCUGUGACACUGCUGUCAUAGUAUCAACACUGAUUACAAAAAAAUUGAUUACAUAUUUCUUCCUGUCUGCUCUAUUGUAGCUUUUUAUUAUUUCUUGUCUAGAGAAAUUUACAUUUCUUCUCAUCUCUCCAGUACCUCACCACUCAAUAACUCUAGGUCAGAAUUUAAAUUGCUUAUUUUCUUACAGGUAUCAAAAAACUAAUAUUUUCUCUUAUCAUUCUACUGUUAUUAAACAUGUUCUUUUUUAUAUAUUGCUUAAAAAAAAAAAAGUGUUGUAUCUUGUCUCUCCACCAUACCCCCCUUUAUUUGGCAGUUCUGGGAUUGAAUUCAGGUCCCUGUGCAUGCUGUAUCUUUUCUUAAUUAUAAGGGUAAAAACAUUCACUGUAGAAAUUUUGAAAAUAAGCAAAGAGGAAAAUAAGAACUUUUAGAGGAAAACAAAGAUAAUUUAUGACAUCUUUCUUAAUUAUUCACUAUAAGCAUUUUAAAAAAUUUCUCUCCAAGCUGGUCUCGGUAGUGCAUACCUGUAAUUCCAGCUGCUAGGGAGGCUGAGGAUCACAAGUUCAAGGCCAGUCUUGUCAGCUUAGCUUGCUGUAUCAAAAUGAAAAAUAAAAAGGGCUAGUGAUGUAGCUCGGUGUUUUUUUAAAAAAUUUGUUUUGUUCUCCAGACUAUUUUUAAUGAUUAAGUGGACUUUAGGGUUAGGAGUGUUGCUCAGAGGUUGAGCGAGUUUGUAGCACACACGGUCCUGGGUUCUAUCCCUGUCACUCCAAACAAUCAAAUUUACAAGUCUGUAUUAUUAGAGUAAUUUAAAAACCAGCAAUAAAACACUGUAUUAAAGAAUUUUGUAUAACUCCUGGGCACAUUAUUUAUUUAUUUACACUGCAAAAAGGUCAUCUAUUUACAUAAGAGUGAUUUCAAGACAUUAUGAUUUUCUUUAUAAACAGAUGUAAGAACAGAAAUUGUCCACUUUUGAAACUACAUUUCAACCCUCCACUAUUAUUAUAAUCCACUGAAUAGCCUGUAUUGAGGCAGUUCUCCCCACCCCCAUUUGAUUUUCAAAUGAAUUUCCAUCAUUUCUUCUUCAUCUGUGGCCCUGGCUUUUUUUAUUCUUUUCUUUGGAAAUUUUUCUAGAAUUAUUCAAAAAUAGGAAUAGUUUUAAAUUUCAUAUUAUGCAUUAUAAAAUUACCUUUUCAGAAAGAUUUUACCAAUGUAUGGACUUUUACCAGAAAUAUGAAUGUCUAUUUUGCUGGGUUUUUGGCCCAUAGUGUUUGUUAACAUUCUUUUCAUCUUUGCCAAUUUUGUUUUAGCUUUUAUUCCUUUGAUUCCUGAAUGAUGUAUUUUUUCCUACUUUAAAAUUUUUUUUGUAUAUGUAGAUGGACAGAAUGCCUUUAUUUUAUUUAUUUUUAUGUGGUACUAAGGAUCAAACCCAGAGCCUCACACAUGCAUAGUCAAGUGCUCUGCCACCGAGCUACAGCCCCAGCCCCUAUUUUUUCC
rnacentral:lncRNA from 1 species